AAAAUAAGAGACAAACUUCAAAACCUGAGAAUAUAUUUGUUCUCACCCUUUUUUUUUUUUUUUUUUUUUUUUUUCCCACAUUUCCCUUCUUUCUUAC
rnacentral:ribozyme from 14 species